rnacentral:rRNA from 1 species
GUGCCAGCAGCCGCGGUAAUACAUGUGGGGCAAGCGUUGUUCGGAAUUACUGGGCAUAAAGGGUGCGUAGGCGGCUUGUUAAGUCACUGGUGAAAGUUUUCGGCCCAACCGGAAAAUGGCCUGUGAUACUGGCGAGCUUGAGUGCGUGAGGGGUGGGGGGAACGAGCAGUGUAGCGGUGAAAUGCGUAGAUAUUGCUCGGAAGGCCGGAGCCGAAGGGGCCCCACUGGUACGCAACUGACGCUGAGGCACGAAAGCGUGGGGAGCAAACAGGAUUAGAUACCCUAGUAGUCC